GAGAGAGAGAGAGAGAGAGAGAGAGAGUCCCAGCUCAGGAUGUCCCGUAUCGGUUGAGGCCAUUUGCCCAGGUUCUCUGCUGAGCUACUUUAAUAUUUUACAUCUGCUCCCCUCACCUGCUGUCACUUUCAGAAGACACACUGCUGUGUCAUUCACUCGUUGAGUCUUUACACACUACCACCUCUAAUUCUCUCUGUUGUCCAACCAUUCAUCGUCUCAUAUCUUUCUUUCUUUUCCUGCCACGUCUACAUCUAGUCACCUUUUCCCUCCUCUCUCCCCGUACACCACCAGCCUACCCUUCUCUCUUGUCUUUUCACUUUUUUCCAGUCCCCUGGUGUUGUUCCACCCUUGCAUCUAUGCUUGUUGUUCUCUGCUUGCUUGGGGUGCAACAGGAACUGCCAACUAUGUUGGAAGGCUUUAGGAAACCUCGUCAGCCUUGAAGUCCUGUGAAGCACCGACUAUAUGAUGUUUUGUGUGUGUGGAGUUUGUUAGAGAUACAAAAAGAGAAAAACAGACAGUGGGAGGAUGGAAGUCGCCAGGCUGAUAUGGUUACUAUAGCAACUAAACCAGACUACAGUCCUUAGUUCUGAUGUGCUGGCUGCCACGGUUCUGUGGUUGCAUUUACGCCACAGGUCUCGAGGCCCAGCUCCUCCGCUGAGCAGCUCAGCAAACCGAACCAACUCCCAGAGCGGUGGCAUACGGGAGAUAAUUCCCUUUUAUAUGCGAAGCUACUGCAGCUAUGGACAACAGAUGUGUAUCCACAGGAGCAUGAAUUAAAUUCAGAAAGGUCUUCAAUGACACAAAUAUUUUUUUCUUUGGCUGACAAAUGAUGAAAUGCCGCGUUCACAGCCAACAUCUGGCGGAACAAACACCGGCUGGUUACUGUGCAGUGAGACAGCUGGAUUUCACUCUUUAUCCGUGGUUCUUAUUCAGGGUUUAAACACAUGUUGCCCAACCUCUAAAUAAACACCUGAAUGUGCAGCACUGCUAUUUUUUAGAUUAAGACCGUUAUGUGUAUAGACAUCUUAAAUGUUAUUGUGUACAUCCAGGGUAAUACAGCAUAGCCACAUUAAGCUGGAGGGCAAAAUGACCCUCUGCAGCCACUAUCCAGACCUGCAAGCUAACUAAGAGGAAAUCUAGGCAUGUAGAUGUUACUAUUUUAGAUCAUCUAACUUUGUGCUGAUCAUCAAAAAGUUACAUCUCAAAGCUAACGGUGUUUAGCACAAAGGUGCCAUAGCUAACGAGCUGUGGGGACAACAGUCCUCAGAACUGCUGCUAAUAUGGAGAUUUCUACAAGUAUUUGAUAAGCAAGCCUUUACUUUACACAGCUGAAGCAACAAAGGUGUAAUGGGAUCUCUUCUGCGCUGUGUGGGUCAAUGCUGAAGGUUCGCCGUGACACAGUUCGUCUUUGGAGGUGAACAGAUGCUCCAUUUAUUUUGACGAGCAACGUAAACAGAAACAUGUAACGAAUGACAUUAGAGGCUGUGCAGAUCUCAGGAGGGAAGAACAGUUUGUAACUAACUUUUACACAUUCUACCAGCUCAGUUAAACACAAAACUAAUGAUUUUAACGGCAGCCCGCUCCAAUCACAGAACACAUUUUGUGUGAAUAUGUAAAAAGAAACUCAUUUAACCUGGUUACAAAGGCAUACCAAUCAUUAGAUGGCUAUAACUUGUUGUGUGUGGACCUGUGGGUAGGGUUGUCACGGUAAGAAAAUUUAACCUCACGGUUAUUGUGACCGAAAUUAUCACGGUUUUCGGUAUUAUCGCGGUAUUUUUUAAACGGUGUUGCAUAUGUUCAGAAAGCAUUGAUAGUCCUGUUCUACACAAACUGAAAUAGGUUUGAAAAGGUUUAACAAUGUUUAUUAAACCUAAAAUAACACAAAGCCUUAGCAAAAGUGCAACUUUUCACAAGUAAAGGAACAAAUAGCUUCUUUUUCUGGAACAUGUUACAGUAGUCAGUGCAGGUUUAAAUUAUACAAAUCCAAACAUUCAAAACAUAAACAAUAUGUAAACAAAUCAAAGAAACACCACUUGUUUUCUCAUUUACUUGUUUUCUUCAUUAUCAAAAUGAAAAUCUAAAACUCCAGUCCACACUUGACUUGAGCACUGUACAAGUCAACCUUAAAAAAUAUGUAUUUAAAAUAAAUUGCCACUUUAAACAAAUUACUAAAAUAACUACUACACUAUGUAAUCAAAUCCAAACGUUCAAGUAUAAAUGGCAUUGAAUAAGUAAACAAAUCAAUGACAAGGAACUAAUUGUAUAUUUCUCUUCAUCAUCAACAAAUAAGAUGCUUCAUCCAGCAACAGGGUGUCCGUGACACGGUUUAAAUGCUGGCAGAGGGCGCUGCGGCUGCAGUCUAUAGUGACUCGUUGCAUUCUCCCUCAGCCAAAAGUCCUCACGUCAUGCAUUUAAGCUAAAAUGCUAAUGUUAACUUACCUUGCACUGGCUGUAGAGACGUGGGUGAUGGUCACGCAGAUGUGCCAUUAGAUUCGAAGUGUUGCUGCCUUUUGCAGACACUUGUUUCCUGCACGUUCUGCAAACGGGAUAGCAGUCUUCUAUUAACUGUCCCUCAGCAUUUUUCAGAAAUCCAAAAUAUGCCCAUACUUCCGAUUUAGUCUUCUUUGAGGGCUGAUGGAUGUCCUGGGCGCUGCCGUCUCCUCCUUCGGCCAUUAUAUCAGCUUCAAAGUUUUGGUUGCUAACUAAAAAGUGCGUGUGCGCGGGAGCUUCAGCAGAAGCGACGGUGGCUGGUAAGGGUCACCGCGCCUAAACCGCGGCCACGGUAAACCCACCGAGAUAAUUUCGUUUUUUAAAAACUGGACGGUUAUUUUUAUUGUCAACUUUUUUACCGGGGUUUACCGCUAUACCGGUUACCGUGACAACCCUACCUGUGGGGCAGAUAUUUCACUUUAUUUUCUGUCAUGAGACUUUGGCUCUGACAAACUCUCUUCAUGGCUGUUAACCAUUGUCUUCAGCUUAUUUUAUCAGCUGGAAACCUGUAAAAGUUGACGUUACUCUUUCUUUCAUCUACUUGUGCAGCCUACAGCGCUGCAUGCGUUAACCAUGCUAGAUUUUAAUUUUUACCGAUUUAGCUCAAUUUAUUGACAGCUGACAGAUAAUAACAAUGGUGGUCAAUGGGGAUGUGUCAUCUUCUUGCCCCCCAGCCAGAAGCUGGGGGCAGGAUCUUCAGCAUGUGAAUUCAUGUGUCAGGGGGUCUAUUUGACUGAGAUUUAUUUUUAAGUACAUCUCUGUCUGCAGUGAAACCAUUGGCUGUGUUUCCUCUAUAAGAGUCCCAGGAAAUUUCUGGGAGGGAGAAAGAUGACGGAAAAUACGAUUGCUUGAUCCUAUCAGCCGUUGUCUUCAUGGGACAGCGGGUUGUCCAGUUCUCAGAAGGUUGCAGGUUCAAUCCUGGCUCUGACAAGUGAAUGCUGCUGAAGUGUGAAGACAAUCACCCCUCUUGCCUGUUUGUGGUGGUCAGAAGGCCCGGUGGCGUCUGUGUUCGGCAGGCCUCGCCUCUGUCAGUGCGCCCCAGGGCAGCUGUGGCUACAUCUUAGCUCAUCCCAACCAGCGUGUGAGUGUGUGAAUGAGUGGAUGACUGAUUAUGUUGCGAAGCACCUUGGGGGGGGUUGUAGAAUCCUAAAAGGUGGUAUAUACAUACAGGACAUUUACUAUUUACCAUUUAAACAAAAUCGACCCUUUCAAGACUUUGCUAAGAUGUCAGAGAUAUUUUUUGGCAGUGAGCAAUGUCACUGAUCAGCGCCAAACAACAUUCAUGGACGUUAAUAACAUUCUGUCAAAUACGUCGUAAUUUUAUCCAUUUGAAGAAUGAGAAGAUCGGCUGUGUGUUGUAAAAAGUGACGUUCAAUGACUAGAAGAGAUGGCGGCGCUCUAGGAGACCACAAAGCACUGCAAAUGAUGGCAUUGUGGGGGGAUUUGUGUUGCAGGUUUAGAAACAUUUCAAAAACAUUACAUUUCCCAGUGAGGUACAACCAAUCAGCAUAAGUUACACACAAGUCCUGCCCAGCAACGGGUUUUUUACUUGAUUGGUUCCUGAAAUGGCUCAGAAAAUGGUCCUUUUGGGAUGACCCAUGCUCUUGCCGAGGUCUGAUAAAAUUACCCGGAAAUUCUAAAAGUGGAAACAGGCCAAUAAUCUGCCAAGGUGGGGCAGCAUAUGUCAAAGAACAUUGUUUUUGUAAUACUGAAAAUAAAAUGGAAUUGCUGAAACAAAAUGUAUGUGUACUUUCUGUCAGCUGUUGAACUGGCGGUCAUUGAUCGAAGGAAACUGUUGCUGUAUUUGCUGUUGCCUCUAGCUGCAGGGAAACACAGAACCAACCUGUUACUGAUCGCUGAUCAUGGCAGCAUCACGUUGCUCAUUUAAUGCAUCAGAAAAUGCCAGAAAGCUUUAGAAAUGUGGUCCAGAAAGAUCUCCGCACAUUUGGUUUUCUCCCUUUCUAACAUGAUCGUAGCAAAUGUCCAGUCUGGUUCUUUUCUGAGAAAGAUAAUUAGGCUACAUUUAGAGUAAAGUGUGAACAAGGAUUUGGUUUCAGCUCCAGAACAGGCACUAUGAAAACGUCUUCUAAAUGUGUGAAAUGGAUACGGCAGCAAACAACUUUAGGCUUAAGCAGCAAAAAGCAAUCUUUACUUUAUUGUGUUUCUGCAGAAAAAUAAGAGGAAAAACAAUGAUGAGGCUUUAGGUUAUAAAAUAAAAGCACUGCAGCUUUGCUUCUCAUCAUGUUGCUUCGUCGUGGAGUUAUUUUAAUCUCAGAGUUAUUAAAAUAUUUGCUGCAGUUUGGACUUUGAGACAACCUGACUCCCAUCAACUUGGAUGUUCCCUUCUUUUUUUGCUCAGCAUGCAGUCACUUCUGUACACCUAAAAUUUGUGAACUCAUUCAAAUUAAACAGACAUACCUCAUCUCCCAAACUUGACCAAGAUGCUUAAAAUUCAAGUUAAGAUGAAAUGAUGGAGGUUACUGGUAAAAAAAUAAAUAAAACCUAGAGAGGGGACUCUUUAGAAAAUAUAGUGUAGCUCUGACCAAACUGAUGAACCAGUGGCGUGUGGGUGGUUGCUGUUGGCUUAAAACAUCUUAAGGACUCUAUUACACGAACCUUUACACUGCCCUACAUUUUGUAUAGCACAGUUAUUUAACUUUUACGUUUACUAUCAAUAAUAGCUGCUGCUAUGUAUAUUCUGCUGCAAGCCAUAUAAAUCAAUGUAAACAUUAUGAAACCUUUAAAGAAGUUGUCACUCCCCCCUCAGAGUCUUACUCCACCCACGUAUCAAUUUUAAAAACUGCAACAUUAGUAGGCGUUGCCUGGAGGACCGAGGGCGGAGCCGCUGCAGUGACGAAGACGACAGCUAACUAGACGAUGCUAGCUCCCUUCACUCUGAGCAGUCAUUAGAAGUGGAGGACGUUUCUCCCCCUCCUUACACAGACACUCGAGAAGAAAGGGACCAAGUCUAUUUGGAGGAGACAAGCGGACCUGAGCCUUAUUGUUGUUUUGAGCUUGUGAGUUGCCUGAAACUACAGGAACCGACCCAACAGAACCAUCUCUGAAUGUCCUCUGGUGUCUGCAGGUGGUCUCUGCUGGUGUCGUCAGGAUCAGGAGCUUCCAGAAGAAUGUGCCUUUCAAUGACUCUUUCCCCCUUAUUUGUUAUAUUAAUUACAUAAAUCUCAAUUGAUAUAUUUCCUAUUUUUGUUCAUGUCCAUAAAUACUUAAACAUGCUUGAAAUUAAAACAAGCUUUUAACAGUGAGGUGCUAGUUUAAUUCAUCACAAUAGAGCUUGUUAAACAUGCGACAAUGUAAUAAUUCAAUUAAUGUAAUUUAUAAAUAUCCAUUAAAAUAUCAAAACUGGAAUCAAAAUGAGACAUUUGGCAGCACAAAAACUUGUCAAACACAAUAUUUAUUAUAAUAAUUGUAGGCAGACAGGAGACAGAGCUGAUGGAGGUUCUCAGUCAUCGAAGGUUUGCUGAAGGCUUUCCAGGAACAGGAGAUGUGGUGUUGUCUCUUCUCUCUCUAUUCUGCCAGAUGAGCUGAUAGGUUACAGGUGUGUGAGGACAUCCUCAUGCUGUCACAACCAGAUGACAGGAGUUAUCAGGUGAUCAGCCAGGCUAAUGAUGAGAUGCAGAAAGAAAACAAAUUCAGGACAGUGUACUAUAUGUGGUGUUGCUCACCUUAUGUGCUCUUAUACAGUUAUUAACGUGUGCCUGCCUCAUGGUGUAGAGUCCAUAUUUUGCUGAGUGUCCUGCAAUAAUGCAGGUUAUUAGUUAACUUACUUUUGAUAGCAAAAACAAAAUAUUUAAUGUAAAAGUUAUUUACCAGGUCAAUCAGCUCACACGUCAACACCAAGUGUCACAGGGCCAGAAUCAGUAGCCUCCUUCAUGAUGUAAUCACAUACUUAUUUAAUUGUUAAUAUCUUAAAAAUUCUGAAAUGUUUUAAUUUUUUUACCUUGAACAGUUCACUGAGCUUGCACUGUCACUGAGGUGGAAGCUGGAAUCAACAGCAGACACCUCACAUCGUCAGGGGGUGUGGACGCUGCUCUGACUUUCUGGAAGAUGAAUUUCCAUCAUGAUCCUUGUGUCACAAGACACACUGAGGCUGUGAGCUCUUCUGGCUGGCUAUGUACAAAAACAAAGAAGCAGCACAUUUAUAAAUGUUUAAAAGAGCAUAAAAUCACGUGUAACAAUAAUCUGUAAAACAAAUUAGAACUAGAAGGUAAUAAUAAAAUGUUUACAUAGAAGAUUAUUAAAAAUAAUUCACCUUUGCUAUGCCGGUAAAGCUUCACAUCAGCCUGGACAAGUACAUUCUUGCAGCUAAAUCAGUCUGACAGCCAGUGUCUUGGGUAGAUUUAGCCUGAAAAAAAAAAUAGAAGCACAUUGUUGUUGGGAGUUUAUAAAGUCAGAUAAAAUACAAAAGAAACUGUCUUAUAAAGGCGCUUUAUAACAUUUCUAGUGUGUGAUCGUUGUUAUAACGUAAAAGUCAGUCACAUAUGAUGUGGAGAGCCUGAAAUGCGACCUCCUGAACAGAAUUCCUCACAGAACCGGGUCACAAGCUGGAUUUCAUGCUGUAAUGCUGUCUGUCAACUGGUGCUGUGUUAGUUAGAGUCACUGUUGCAGAAUUACCGACUGACUAGCUAAAGGAAUUGAACCACGUCUCUCGGACUUUGCAUUUAGGUAGGGAAUUGUCUUUAGAAGAUGUUAAAACGUUUAUUUAGCUGACUCACCUCAGACUGGAGCCCGCCGUGGUGGGGGAGCAGAGUCGGUGGGCUGCAUCUAAAUCGGAAGCUAACAAAUCAAGCUAACGUUAUCUGCUCUGUUUACAACUCGCUCGCAGCGAGCGACGACAUAACGCUCUUGCGCAUGCGCAGCUGUCUUGGCAAGUUCUCGUUAUGAAGGACGGGUACCGAAACGAGGCACCGUUUGAAACGACGUGAAUCGGUGCUCGGUCGGUACUAUGUAAUUCGGUCGGUACCUUAAAAAGUACUGAAUUUUGCUGUGCUGUUUUUAUUUGGUGAUUCAAGUCAUUAGUUGUGAAAUCUUCUCUCUGGGCAGCAUUUUGAUUUAAAAUCAGAAACAGAACAAGUUUAGUGGAUAUUUCAGCAUAAUUAAUGGAUUAGUUUCAUUUGAAACUGUCAGUCAAAACAGAUUUCCAGCAGCUUGGUCUUCAUGGUCUUGACCUACGGAGCUGCUGCCCAGCCACAACUGCCUAAGCUGCUUUACCCCUGCAAUGGCGACUCUGGCUCCGAGGAGUCUGCAGAAGCUUACGACCAGUGGUGUUCACGAGGGAGAAGAAAAAACAGUUUGCCCUUUUUUCUCUGGGUGCAAAUUGCCCUUUUCAACCGGCAAUCAAAAGUUUUCAGGCCUCGCCCUGGCCCUCUCACAGAGCAUGACCUUCUCCGGCUGAGUCGAGCUGAAGCUCAGGCAUUUAUUCCUUUUCACCAGCGUUUCUGAAAACUGCUUGAGCGAGGCACAGCUGACAGUGUGUUAGUUUGGAAAUAAUCCAAGGCGUCAUACGUGUGGCCGUUUGUGUGAAGUCUUUCGACUUCACAAAAGGCCGAUGUCAACUUGAGUACCUUCAGCUCAUGGAAGCUGAGAGGAGGAAAUAAAUGUUAUCUGAAAAAAAUCCAACUUGCAGAUUUUUGACUUUUAACUAAAUUUUGAAUGUGUCACCAUAGUUUAAACGUCUCUCCUACAUCUGGAGCUGGUGAUAACAAGCUAAAGAUGCUUGAACAUCUGUAAGUGUACUGUAGCAAAAAUCUGAGACCUGGGAAAACUUGCAAGGAAAGUUUCAGCUCAGCAAAACCCAGGUCUGCAUCACACAUUGGCCCAAUCCCAAUUCUCACACUUUUUGACCAAUCAGUGUCCCUUGAAGGCCACUCAAAAAAAUUGGUCCGAAACUGUUUUUAUCAUUUAAGAAAUAUCUCCAAACUGUGAAGGUUGGUGUCAAAACAUGAAUGUGAAAGGGUCAUCCAUGGCUUUAUCUCCUCCCGUCUAGAUUACUGUAACACACUUUUCACAUGCUUUAACAAAAAAGCACUUGGCCGCCUUCAGUUGGUCCAGAACUCUGCAGCAAGGCUCCUAACUGGAGCAAACAGAAGAGCACACAUCACUCCUAUUCUAAUGUCUCUCCACUGGUUACCCGUUAACUUUAGAGUUUAUUUCAGAAUCCUGAUUAUAACUUUCAAUGCUCUACAUGGUAAAGCUCCUCCCUAUAUUACUGAACUGUUAAAGCCUUAUGCUCCAACCCGAGCCCUCAGGUCCACACACCAGAACCUUCUAGAAGUUCCAGAGACCAGAUACAAAAGUCGAGGUGAUCACUCCUUCCAGACUGUUGCACCCCGACUCUGGAAUGAUCUUCCUUUAUCCUUGUGUAGCAUUGACAGUCUGGACACUUUUAAAAAACAGCUAAAGACCCUUUUAUUUAAAGCUGCUUUUACCAAAAUCUUUUAUUUUCUUAUUUAUAACUGAAAUUUUUAAUCUUUCAUCUGUUUAUGAAAAUUUAUAAUUUUAUGACUUAAUUUUUUCUGAUGUUAAUCUGUUUCUGUUUUGAGAUCAUUAUGAUUUUAUGACUUUGUUUUAUUUUGUUUUGAUCUAUGUGAAGCACUUUGUGAUUCUAUAUCUGUGAUAAGUGCUAUAUAAAUAACAUUUACUUACUUACUUACUUACUUACUUACUUACUUACUUACUUACUGCGCCCCACGACCUUCUGAGGAAGUGCGCAAUAAGGUUCGAGUGCGUAGUACACAAGUGUGUCAAAUUGGGAAAGGGACCACAACACAUUUUGGGAUGUCGGUCGCUGUUUGUGCUACUCCUAAAAAAAAUCUUUAUUAACAACUUUCAAACAAACAGUUAUUUGACUAAAUGGACAUUCAUUGCUGUCCACAUUAAACCUUAGUCUAAACCAUUCAGACGAUAAAUAAAUAUCAUUAACCGCCCUAAAAAAGUCAUUGAUGGAUUGUGGGUAAUACCCUUCACGGACAUUCGCAUUGCUGCGAAGUUGGGCAAAGUGUGGAUCGAGGGCACAAAAGGGACACCGUCAAAUAUUGGGAUUGGCCCAUUAUUACCCCCAAAAGUUGCUUCUCGUCCAAAUCUAAAUUACAGAAGGAACAAACAGGAGAAAAGAGCAGACCCUGAUUCUCGACACAGUGACUCUGGAAAAAAAAAUGUUCAGGUUCAUAAAAAUUUAACCAAACCCUGCAGAAUUUCCUGUUUAAUUUAUGAAGAAAUUGGCUUGUCUGAGUUUGCUGCUUUUAUUAAACUAAUAUUCUUGCUUUUAUUUGUUUAGUGGUAGACAUCGUGUUACAGAGUAACAGCAUCCUGUUAUGUGUCUGUUUGCGUGUCUCCUGGUUCUGUUUGCUGUCCGUGUAGGCAACAAGUCUCAGUUGUUUGCUUGUUGGAAACGGCUGCUGAAGAUGUCAAUCUCUGCUGAGCGGAGCUGCUGCAGCUGUUUAGCACACACCAUGUUGAUGUGGCCUGUUAACUGCUUUGUGCUGUGCUCUGAACAGCAGGAUGUCACCAUCAUCCAACAGGUUUCCCAGUCUCGCAAGCAGGGCGGGAGUUACUUACGCUGGGCCUACUGUCUUUACACCUGUGUGUGUGUGUGUGUGUGUGUGUGUGUGUGUGUGUGUUUUGCUCAAAUUCCAGCUGCAUCACACUCCCCUGACCUCUUCUUUUCCCAUCAUCCUUCAUGCAUUUUGCUCCUGACUUUCUUCCAGUCACAUCCUUCUAGCCAUCAUCCCAUUUCCUUUUCUCUUGUUGUCGCUCCGGCUCUCCUCCCUCCUCUCACGCCCCAGUUGGGGAGCACAAUGCGAUGGUGACGGCAGCGUUGCUGUGUCGUAUGUUUGUCUCUGUGAUGUCACACUACAGCAGCUCUGUAGUUGCUUUCUCUCUUUUUCUUCUUCUUAAUCCCCGUGCUCAUGGACCACACUGCUAUUUUAAGAUUCUAUGAACCUUUUCAAAGAGCUUCAAGGGGAAAGCUUGUCCAUUCGCUGUGUGCCUGAGUGUGUCUGAUAUGAAAGCCCCAGCACGCAGCUAAGAGACAACUUUUCUUUCUUCGCAUAUGUGUUUAUUUCGCUGUCAUAAAACAAUUUCUACAUCAUAUAUGUCAAAAUCACAAAUUUUAAGCUAAUAAUACAGAAACUCUGAAACGUAAAUCUAUUAUGUGACUUACUUACAGCUAAAACAUUUUUUCUUGCACAUUUUCCUCCCUAGUCAUAAUUGCAGGGAGCUCAAAGUAAAAGUCACAUUUGAUAUUUAGGAUCACAGCUGAUGUAAUGUUAAUAAAACCGCUCGGAUCUCCAGACAAUAAACCUGGCAGUAAAUCUGGCUCCCACAAUAUUGUGUGCUCAUUAUUGCCACAGCCAAGUAAGAUCUGGAGUCCUGAACUCUUUGAUCCCUUGUCUUUCAUCAUGUGUCUGACGCUGCGCAGAGGAGCAGCUGUCUCUGCUCGGUAACAUUUAGUCUGCCGUUUCAGAGUCGUUUGACCCCUUUUUUAAACUAUAAAAACAUGAAAAGAGCCCGGCUGUGCAACUCUACCUGAACUCCGUAGGGAGGGUGGGGUGUGAAAAGGGAGAAAUUGCUGAAAAACACUGAGAGACGGCGAAAGUCCUGACAGGAGUACAGCUCCAUGACCUCUCUGUGAAAACUCUCCACUCCAGCGUAGUAAAGGCACGCUGUUAAAAAUGUUAUCAGCUCGGUGAACUGUAGACAUCCAACUGAGGCAUUAGCACACACAAAGCUUUUAAUUAUUGCUAACUGAUGUGGAGAUAAUUUAAAGGUUCCACGUAAAAUCCUUUUAGCGUGUUAUUCUUAGUCUCACAUGUAAAAAAAUAUGUGUAACUAUAGUUUCAGCUUUAAAAAAACACAUACUCAUUUUCUUAGUUUCAGCUUCGCUCUUCUCAUGCCGCUACUGUUUUCUGAAAUGACUUCGGGCUGCGUCUUUCAUACGGUUGCUGGGAGCAUGGCUGAGGGCAGUGAAGUCACAGCCUGACAUAAAUCUUCACGUUUUAUUUCAUGCUUGCCACCUAUCUCACUCUUAGAAAGACUGGGACCACUAAAGUACUUCACACAUAUUUAAAUACUUUUCGCUAUGAUAGUGCUGCACUUAAUUACAUGCCAUUAGCAGAUCACACAGCAUGGCAUGUGUAAAAUAACCAAAGCACAGUGUCCCCACUUAAAUACAUGGGAGGGUAACUGGUGUUUAAUUGUCUUGCUCUAAAACAGUGAUUCUCAACUGGUCUGGGUUUGAGAUCCACCAUCACCUUUUAAAGCCGUGACCCACAUAUUCAACUUCUCAAAUGUAUUUAAUGAAAAGAUGGUUCCAUUUAAAAGUUGAAAAUGGAACAAUGUAAAAAAAAAAAAAAAUCUACAUUAAAAAAAUAUAUACCUCCACAUAAAGAAGUGUGCAGAAUAAAUGCAAAGUAUUUAUUUUAGAAGCAAUAGUUCAAUAAAAAAAAUAAUCAAAUAUUUAUUUUGACGGGCAUGACACUGGGUUUAUGUUUACAUCUACUGGCCUAUAGAGGGCGCUAUUGCGGGUUGCCAAAUGGGGUAAACAGAUCCAUUUGACACAGCAAGGCUGGCACCUUUGAAAAAGGUGGACUGUGCAAGUCAAACAGCUGCUUUUGAGCCCAGAAGAUGUUCUACACUGUAAAAAGAUGUAGAUUUUACAGUAAAAUGACGGCAGUUGGGGUUGCCAGAAUGGUACUGUGAAAUUUUGAGCAAAACCGUUUUUUCUUCUAUAGUAAAAAGGUAUUUUUAUUGUUGUUUUACAGUCAAAAAUUGUUCUGAAGUCAGGAUUUUACUGUAGAACAAAAUGUUUGUACUUGAAGAAAAUAAACAUUGUUUUACCAUAAAAUGAACAUGAAAAUAACUUUAAAAAUUAAAUUUGUGCCACUAACAUUUUGUCCCAUUAAAGACCAAGUUCAGAGGGUUUUCCUCAUCACAUACAUUAUAGCCUUUCACUGUUCAAUUCAUAGAAAUAACCAAUUAACUGCCAUUAAGGUCAUACCUGGAUUAUAAUUGCUUUGCCUGAACUGCUGUUCUUGUCUUUCAACCGCUUUUGUGUAAAAAAUUGUAGCAGUCAAAAGCGCUGAGUCAGUAAUGACAUCAAUGUUGAACAGCAGCAUAACCUUCGUGUGCUUCAUGAGUUAGGUCAAGACAAGACUUUUCUCUCUGACUAACACUUAAGCCAGACCUCACCUAAAUGCUGCUAAGCACACUGGGAAAUGGAAGUACUCCUCACCAUUACCAGCAAUUAAAAGCAGUAUUAUCUUUUUCAAUAAAUAAAAGUAAAAAUCAUAGCUUUUGUUACUGUUAUAAACUUUAGGGGAAAAUUCCAUUUAUAAAACAAUGCAAGAGUGCUUUACAGUAGGAUUGUGUAUUUUUUCUAAGACUGACUGUUUUCACCAACUAAUUUAUUUACAGCAACUUCACAUAUAAUCAACAGCUUUAAAACAUUUAUAGUUGACAGGUUUUUCGUGUCAUGGCUUACGGUUUAUCACUCUUAAAUAUACGGCUAUUUUUUACAGUGUAAUGUUAAAUCCUGCUGUUAAAUAAACUAAUUAGUAGAAAUUAGCCCUUACAACAUAUGAUUCAUCACUGGACAUGGUGCUGGCUGGUCCUCCCGAUAGCUGGAAACCAAGUUCUAUCAUUGCAACUACAAUCUCCACACACUGGAUGAUCACUAUGGUGUUCAUAUUUCAUAAUCAACCUUUAAAUUUCACAUUGAACAGAAGUAGCAGUCACAUGCACAAAUUUGAUAUAAAGGUGCUACAAUUGAGUACAAGUGUGUCUUACUUUGUGUUGUUUUGUCUAUUUUGUGUAAAAUAGCGGGAAGUAAUUAGCACCCCCUAAAUGUAUCGCCACCUGCUCUUGAGUACAGACUGCAUGCCAGUCCGAGUGACAAAAAGGUCCCCUUCAAAAUACAGCAUGAUUCAUUUUUAUAACAUUUUGCUCUGGUAAAGAAACCAUGACACUCUAAAAACGGCUCAGUGACCCACUUUUGGGUCAGGACCCACCAGUUGAGAUUCACUGCUUUAAAACACUCAAAUGUUUGUCAGUAGAACACUACAAAAACAAAUGUGUUAAUCAUCUCUAGGUGUCCUUUAGAUCAGGGAUUCCCUAAGUGUGGUGCGUGCACCCCUGGGGGUGCGCGAGAUGAAAAGUGUAAUGACUGCGGAGCUCAGAGAAGUCUGUCAAAAGUCACCAUUAGCGUAGCCAGAAACUCAUUUGUGGGUGGGCUUCAGAAAAAGUAAGUGGGCCCAAUAAAUGCAAUUGAAAACAAGUAUAUUUUGCUUGUGUGUGUGUGUGUGUGUGUGUGUGUGUGUGUGUGUGUGUGUGUGUGUGUGUGUGUCCUCUGCAUGUGCCCUAGCUUCAUAAUAAUAAUGCGCCGAGCAUCGACACUCUGGCCUGCGCACACCUUUAAUAGCAAGAUAUGUUCCGUAUUUGAUCAUUUUUAAUGGUGUUGGAGAAAUCUGAAGGUGGUGAGUCAUUCUGGCAGAUUGUAAAUAACACCCUGUCUCAUGCAGGUGUUCUGACAUUGUAAACCUCACACACAGAACAUUGUAAAUGAUUCCCAUCUGAGCAUUUUAACAUUAUUAUAUUAUUAUUUUAGCGCACUGACUGUGGGACAGCAUUCUAAACGUGUCAGGCUAUCAAAAGCGCGCUGAAGAUCUGAAGUUCAGAGUGCGUCUGUCAGAGGUCAGACGUGAUCCAACGGAACCAUGGCUCAUGGGUGCACAAGUGAGCACAUCUGGGCUGGGCAGAAGUAAUUUUACAACAUUGGUUUAAAUAGCGCCAAUAACGAGACGCAGUGACUUGAGCGGCUCAUGGAGCUGUGCUGCACACACACACACACACAUACACACACACACACACACACAGAGGUUCAAUAAGCGCACGCUGCGCCAACCCCGGCGCGCCGUCAGACUGAAGGCAGAAAUGAGCGCUGCCUCCUCCGUGAUAAAAAACUUUUAAGAGGUUUUAUGACAACAUUUUUAAUUCAAGGUCAAAUUAAGAUAUUAGCUUCUAUUUUGGGAUGACGUAUUAAGGUCAGGUCCGCUCCAGCCAGUGACUCUGAACCUGACCACAACUCAUGUUACUGCAGCAUUUGUUAUUCCAGUCCGCGUGGCAGCGGAUCGCAGAUUCAGCCACACCAUAAAACAGCAUUAAGUCGGUCUGAGGCAAAAGUGAACAUCAUGGCUAUAUCCUUUCCAUCUUUUCCCCUAUAGACAAUUGAUUACGCACAAGUAGGUGAUCAGUUCAGGUUUACGUAGAGCAGAAGGAAUGAGAGAGCUCUGGUUAAACGUUCCUGCUUUAAGAAAACUGUUAAAUAGCAUUUUUUAUGUGCUACCUGAGCACUCUAAAUAUUUAUUUAAAAUUAAAUCAAAGGAAAUUGUAAUGGUAUUGCAUGUUUAUUGAUUACUACUUCAAAAAUACAUAAUACAUAAACAUAAAAAUGAAAGUGAUGGGGAAAAAGGUCGAUCACAUUUUUUUUAACCCUGUCUGUCGAGUGAGUGUUUAGCGUGACGUCUGAUAUAUACGGGUAUAUCCUAUAUAUAUAUAUAUAUGU